rnacentral:rRNA from 1 species
AUACCGGGCCUUUUUGGGCUUGGUAAUUGGAAUGAGGGAGAGUUAAACGGACCAUCGAGUAUCCAUUGGAGGGCAAGUCUGGUGCCAGCAGCUGCGGUAAUACCAGCUCCAAUAGCGUAUAUUAAAGUUGUUGCAGUUAAAAAGCUCGUAGUUGGACUUGUGUGCGCUGUCCGCGGGUGGCCUGCGCCCAAAAGGGCGUUUCGGUUCGGCCCCGGUGGCGCCUUGAAAUCUGCAGCUGGGGGGACGUUGGCCUUAACUGGUCGGCGACCGCACGCCGGCUGCUCGGUUACUGUGAGAAAAUUAGAGUGUUCAAGGCAGGCAUUGGGUGCAAUUGAAUACAUUAGCAUGGAAUAAUAAAAUAUGGCUCCUGCCGUAUUUUGUUGGUUUUGACUGGUGGGAGUAAUGAUUGAUAGGGACGGUUGGGGGUGCUAGUAUUGAGCGGCCAGAGGUGAAAUUCAUGGAUUCGCUCAAGACUAACUUAUGCGAAAGCAUUCACCAAGGACGUCCUCUUUAAUCAAGAACGAAAGUUGGGGGAUCGAAGACGAUCAGAUACCGUCGUAGUCUCAACCAUAAACUAUGUCGACUUGGGAUCGGCGGUAGUUUUUUCAUUAAGACACUGUCGGGACCACGGGAGAAAUCAAAGUGUCUGGACUCUGGGGGAAGUAUGGUCGCAAGGCUGAAACUUGAAGGAAUUGACGGAAGGGCACCACCAGGAGUGGAGCCUGCGGCUUAAUUUGACCCAACACGGGGAAACUUACCAGAUCCAGAGAUGUAGAGGAUUGACAGAUUGAAGCUCUUUCUUGAUCACUUCGGUGGUGGUGCAUGGCCGUUCUUAGUUGGUGGAGUGAUUUGUCUGGUUAAUUCCGUUAAUGAACGAGACCUCAGCCUGCUAGUGUAGUCGGCUGGAUUGCCUUUGGCGAUCCGUGAUUUCGACUUCUUAGAGGGACAAUCGACGCGCAGUUGAUGGAAGUUUGAGGCAAUAACAGGUCUGUGAUGCCCUUAGAUGUUCUGGGCCGCACGCGCGCUACACUGCUGGGCUCAGCGAGUUUUACUUGGCCGAGAGGCCCGGUUAAUCUUGUGAAAUCCCAGCGUGCUUGGGCUCGCCUCCUGCAACUGGAGGCGCCAACGAGGAAUUCCUAGUAGACGCAGGUCAUCAACCUGCAUCGAUUACGUCCCUGCCCUUUGUACACACCGCCCGUCGUUCCAUAAGAGUGAGGCAUCCGGUGAAUUCUCGGGAGAGCCUGGGCGUGGCCAGCAAUGGUCUGCUCGGGUUUGAACUUGCAUAAACUUGGUGCCUAUGAUUAGGG